CCUACGGGUGGCAGCAGUGGGGAAUAUUGCACAAUGGGCGAAAGCCUGAUGCAGCGACGCCGCGUGAAGGAAGAAGUAUUUCGGUAUGUAAAGCUCUAUUAGCAGGGAAGAAAAUGCUGGUACUUGACUACGAAUCAGCGGCGACCUACGUGCCGCCAGCAGCGGCAAUAAGUAGGGGGCAAGCGUUAUCCGGAUUUACUGGGUGUAAAGGGAGCGGUGGCGGCUAGUCAAGUCAGAAGUGAAAGCGAAGGGCUCAACCUUGGGACUGCAUUUGAAACUGAGUAGCUAGAGUGCAGGAGAGGUAAGUGGAAUUCCUAGUGUAGCGGUGAAAUGCGUAGAUAUUAGGAGGAACACCAGUGGCGAAGGCGGCUUACUGGACUGAAACUGACGUUGAGGCGCGAAAGCGUGGGGAGCAAACAGGAUUAGAUACCCUAGUAGUC
rnacentral:rRNA from 1 species